AUUGAACGCUGGCGGCAGGCCUAACACAUGCAAGUCGAGCGGGGUUUUCGGACCUAGCGGCGGACGGGGGAGUAAUGCGUAGGAAGCUACCCGAUAGAGGGGGAUACCAGUUGGAAACGACUGUUAAUACCGCAUAAUGUCUACGGACCAAAGUGUGGGACCUUCGGGCCACAUGCUAUCGGAUGCGCCUACGUGGGAUUAGCUAGUUGGUGAGGUAAUGGCUCACCAAGGCGACGAUCCCUAGCUGGUUUGAGAGGAUGAUCAGCCACACUGGAACUGAGACACGGUCCAGACUCCUACGGGAGGCAGCAGUGGGGAAUAUUGGACAAUGGGCGCAAGCCUGAUCCAGCCAUGCCGCGUGUGUGAAGAAGGCCUUCGGGUUGUAAAGCACUUUCAGUAGGGAGGAAGAGUUAAGUGUUAAUAGUACUUAACUUUGACGUUACCUACAGAAGAAGCACCGGCUAACUCUGUGCCAGCAGCCGCAGUAACAC
rnacentral:rRNA from 1 species